rnacentral:rRNA from 1 species
GACGAACGCUGGCGGCGUGCUUAACACAUGCAAGUCGAACGGUGAAGCGCCUUCCUUUUUGAUGGGUGUGGAUGAGUGGCGAACGGGUGAGUAACACGUGAGUAACCUGCCCCCUUCUUCUGGAUAACCGCAUGAAAGUGUGGCUAAUACGGGAUAUUCUGGGUCUGUCGCAUGAUGGGUCUGGGAAAGAUAUUGUUUCGGUGGGGGAUGGGCUCGCGGCCUAUCAGCUUGUUGGUGGGGUGAUGGCCUACCAAGGCGGUGACGGGUAGCCGGCCUGAGAGGGUGGACGGUCACACUGGGACUGAGACACGGCCCAGACUCCUACGGGAGGCAGCAGUGGGGAAUAUUGCACAAUGGGCGCAAGCCUGAUUCAGCGACGCCGCGUGAGGGAUGGAGGCCGUCGGGUUGUGAACCUCUUUCGCCAGUGAAGCAGGCCUGCCUCGUUUGUGGGUGGGUUGACGGUAGCUGGAUAAGAAGCGCCGGCUAACUACGUG